GUGAUCAUAGCUCAGCUGGUUAGAGCGCCCGACUGUGACUCGGGAGGUCGCCGGUUCGAUCCCGGUUGGUCACCCCA
rnacentral:tRNA from 1 species